rnacentral:rRNA from 1 species
ACGAACGCUGGCGGCGUGGAUAAGACAUGCAAGUCGAACGAGAGAAUUGCUAGCUUGCUAAUAAUUCUCUAGUGGCGCACGGGUGAGUAACACGUGAGUAACCUGCCCCCGAGAGCGGGAUAGCCCUGGGAAACUGGGAUUAAUACCGCAUAGUAUCGAAAGAUUAAAGCAGCAAUGCGCUUGGGGAUGGGCUCGCGGCCUAUUAGUUAGUUGGUGAGGUAACGGCUCACCAAGGCGAUGACGGGUAGCCGGUCUGAGAGGAUGUCCGGCCACACUGGAACUGAGACACGGUCCAGACACCUACGGGUGGCAGCAGUCGAGAAUCAUUCACAAUGGGGGAAACCCUGAUGGUGCGACGCCGCGUGGGGGAAUGAAGGUCUUCGGAUUGUAAACCCCUGUCAUGUGGGAGCAAAUUAAAAAGAUAGUACCACAAGAGGAAGAGACGGCUAACUCUGUGCCAGCAGCCGCGGUAAUACAGAGGUCUCAAGCGUUGUUCGGAAUCACUGGGCGUAAAGCGUGCGUAGGCUGUUUCGUAAGUCGUGUGUGAAAGGCGCGGGCUCAACCCGCGGACGGCACAUGAUACUGCGAGACUAGAGUAAUGGAGGGGGAACCGGAAUUCUCGGUGUAGCAGUGAAAUGCGUAGAUAUCGAGAGGAACACUCGUGGCGAAGGCGGGUUCCUGGACAUUAACUGACGCUGAGGCACGAAGGCCAGGGGAGCGAAAGGGAUUAGAUACCCCUGUAGUCCUGGCAGUAAACGGUGCACGCUUGGUGUGCGGGGAAUCGACCCCCUGCGUGCCGGAGCUAACGCGUUAAGCGUGCCGCCUGGGGAGUACGGUCGCAAGAUUAAAACUCAAAGAAAUUGACGGGGACCCGCACAAGCGGUGGAGUAUGUGGCUUAAUUCGAUGCAACGCGAAGAACCUUACCUGGGCUUGACAUGUAAUGAACAACAUGUGAAAGCAUGCGACUCUUCGGAGGCGUUACACAGGUGUUGCAUGGCCGUCGUCAGCUCGUGUCGUGAGAUGUUUGGUUAAGUCCAGCAACGAGCGCAACCCCUGUUGCCAGUUACCAGCACGUGAAGGUGGGGACUCUGGCGAGACUGCCCAGAUCAACUGGGAGGAAGGUGGGGACGACGUCAGGUCAGUAUGGCCCUUAUGCCCAGGGCUGCACACGUACUACAAUGCCCAGUACAGAGGGGGCCGAAGCCGCGAGGCGGAGGAAAUCCUAAAAACUGGGCCCAGUUCGGACUGUAGGCUGCAACCCGCCUACACGAAGCCGGAAUCGCUAGUAAUGGCGCAUCAGCUACGGCGCCGUGAAUACGUUCCCGGGUCUUGUACACACCGCCCGUCACAUCAUGGAAGCCGGUCGCACCCGAAGUAUCUGAAGCCAACCGCAAGGAGGCAGGGUCCUAAGGUGAGACUGGUAACUGGGAUG